rnacentral:rRNA from 1 species
GAUGAACGCUGGCGGCGUGCCUAAUACAUGCAAGUCGAGCGAACAGACGAGGAGCUUGCUCCUCUGACGUUAGCGGCGGACGGGUGAGUAACACGUGGAUAACCUACCUCUAAGACUGGGAUAACUUCGGGAAACCGGAGCUAAUACCGGAUAAUAUAUUGAACCGCAUGGUUCAAUAGUGAACGACGGUUUUGCUGUCACUUAUAGAUGGAUCCGCGCCGCAUUAGCUAGUUGGUAAGGUAACGGCUUACCAAGGCAACGAUGCGUAGCCGACCUGAGAGGGUGAUCGGCCACACUGGAACUGAGACACGGUCCAGACUCCUACGGGAGGCAGCAGUAGGGAAUCUUCCGCAAUGGGCGAAAGCCUGACGGAGCAACGCCGCGUGAGUGAUGAAGGUCUUCGGAUCGUAAAACUCUGUUAUUAGGGAAGAACAAAUGUGUAAGUAACUAUGCACGUCUUGACGGUACCUAAUCAGAAAGCCACGGCUAACUACGUG